GGGCACUGAGCAUUGGUAGGGGUGGGGGUGCAGAGUCGGGGGUGCGGGAGCCAGCAGGGUGGCCAGGAGGAGGGGGUGAUGAGAAGGCUCCCCUCCUACCCUGGGCCAACUUUCUCAGGGUCCAGGAAGCCCGAGGGAAUUCUGAACUUUCCCUGCAGGAGUGUAGUGCCCAGACUGGGAGAGAUGUGCCUCUGUGGGCAUCUUGAAGGGAAAUGAGAAGCGGAGCUGCCCCUGCACCUGCGCUGGGAGCUGCCUGCCUCCUGCUUGUCCUGGCCAUGUGCGAACCUCAGCGUGGAAGAGGGACUCUCGCACUGCUCCCUGCGCGGCUCAGCUGGCCUCCUGGGAAGCCACAAGAAACUAAUCCAUGGGGAUGGCCAGGCCUGAUUAGCUGGGGUGGGGCUGGAGGCUCCUCUACAGAGAUGAUGCUUACACUGAGACCUGAAGGAGAAGGAGGAGGUGGCUGCUCACGCAACCCACAGGAAAGUGUUCCAGGAUCAAGAACAGCAGGUGCAAAGGCCCCGUGAUGGAAAGGAUUGGUGCACUAGGAGAACAAAGUGGGUGGCUGCAGGGCAGGAGGGGAGGGUGCAUGUGCAGGCUGGGCAGGAGGGUAGGGCCUUGAGGCACCCUACAGGCCCCUGUAAGUCCAGGCACAGAGCUGCUGCCUUGAGCCCUGAGGUCUGGACAUUCCAGUUUCCCAUCUUUCCAAUGUGGGACUCUCUGCCUUUUCCAAUUCCCCACUUCCCUGAUGCCAGAUACUGCCUGACUGUGUCCAUCUCUCCCCCGUCCCCUGGGCCACCUCCCUGCUGAGACCCCUCACUGGUGCCUCCCAGGUGCAUUCUCCUCGCUGCCCCCAGCAGAGUCCUUCCCACACACCCAGCUCCUCGGUGUGGUGCCUGCCCGUGGGUGGGUGGUGCACCCCACUGGCAUCCCUCCUCUGCCCUGUCCACCUCAACUUCCAGGGCAGCCUGGACACCAGGUUUG
rnacentral:lncRNA from 1 species